GUUGGUGUAGCUCAUUGGGAGAGUACAUGCUUUGUGUGUAUGAUGUCCUGGGUUCAAUCCCCUGCAUCUUGG